UUCUAAGAUUAUUGAGGCCUUGGGCAGAGCUGGGGUUUCCAGACCAGGCCACGGAGCUGCGGAGAGAAGAAUGCGCCUGCUUUUGCUGCGGAUCGCGAGUUGUUGGGCGCAAAGAUCCAGAGAGACGAGGCGGCGGAGCUUCCCUGCAGGGAUACACGCCAGGCCAAUCACAUCUAGGGAGCCUGCCUGGCCUGCACCCGCACCCCGACAACAAGCUUGCGCGCAGCCAACUGCGCGUGGCUGUCCGGAAUGAAAACGCCAGAGUGGUGUUACACUGCAGCGGUGGUCGGUUCUCCAGAGUCACUUAUCAGAAUGUGGAAUCUGGUUCCAGCGCCUAUCCAGUUACAAUCUCAUAGGACAUUUGCAUUCUUUUGUCGGAAAAGAGGAUCUCUGAAAUCCUGGAGCUGUGCACGACUAAUAAUAGGUUUUUGUUCCAGAUAGAUUAGCUAAUUACUGUCAGAUAAAGUAAAUAUCGUUGCAUCCAUGGCAGCGUUUGAUUUUAUUUUAAUCGAGUGUAUCUGCCUAUCUUCCGUUUUGUCACAUUAUACAUUUAUACAAGUCUUUCUCCUCCCAUAUGUGAUUACAGGGCAUAGUAAAAUGAUAGCAUAUUCUCUGAGGGAAAGUGUUAUAAUAGAUGCAUAAAAAGGUGAUAAAUAAAAUUAUACCUUUUGUGGAGAAAAACCACAUGCUAAUCAUUACAGCAAACUUUAUCAAAGAAAAAUGUGAUGGUGCUUUGAAAGCUGUAAAGUGUUCCCAUUAAGUAUUAUUGUAUACACAAAAACUGCUUAAUUAAUAUACAUAUAAAUAUAGGCAGAAAAUUGAUCACUUUAGUUAUAUAUGCUACAGCUUAUUCUGUUAUCCUUCACUUGUUUAAAUAGCCAUUUAUUUAUGUAGCCAUGGCUACAAAAAAAAUUGAAGGUUUUAGUGGCUUUCUAAUCUAAAUGUAUACUAUAGUCAGGAGUAAUUUUCUUUCAAGGCAUGAGAAACCACCAUGGGGUGAACUCUGCUAGCUAAAACUAUGUGAUAACAUUUUAGGCAAUUUUUUUCCAUUGAAAAAUUUCCUUCUUCCUUUCUUUCUUUUCUUUCUUUCUUUCUUUUCUUUCUUUCUUUUUUUUACUGUUCUCCCAGAAACUUCAUUUUCAAUGACAUCUUUGCGGGGGGGGGGGGGGAGAGACAAAAAAAGUAAAAAAAUUCCUCUUUUGCAGGAGCAUUAAGUAGGUUUUUGUUAUUUUGUUGUAGUUGCUGCUGGUGGUGCAUAUGUGUGUAUGUAUUUUGAUUUGGUUUUUAGUUGAGAGAUGUUAGAACAUAUCCAGAUUUGUGAGCAUUCUAGAGGCUAGUGUUUUGUGAGAAGGGGAAUACAUUGUCUCCUUUGAAAGAAAUGUCAACUAGGUACAUAAGUCCCAUAAAGUAUUAAGCUGAUCUAAUUCCUCAAGAAGAACUUCCCCCCCAAAUUUCAGCAAUUUGGUAAGAGAGAUUUUAAAAUGGCAUUUUGAGAAUUUUAGCUUGUUUUCCAUGUGUUUGUGUAAAUGCCAGAUUUCCCUAGAUUGUGUAUGGAAUUGAAUUUUCUAAAUAACCCACCACUUCCCUUCUCUGGGAGAAAAUUGGUCCAAGUUCAGUAAUCCCUGUAGUUCUUUGUUAAUUACAGGCCCUUGCCAAUGAAGCAAGUUUCGAUUUCUCAGGGAGAAGAGCUUUCAUAUCUAUCUAUGUGUAUCUGCUUCACUCCAAAAAAUUUUAAGUUAACAAUAUAAAUAAAGCUUUUGUUAUCAAAAAAGUUGUUUUGCUAAUAAAACACAGAAAUCAGAAAAGCUAACUUUGUCGAGUGAAAGUUGAUAUUUGUUCAAACAAAAAAACGUAAAUAAAAGAUGCCUAUACACAGACA